GAUGAACGCUGGCGGCGUGCCUAAUACAUGCAAGUCGAGCGAACAGACGAGAGUGCUUGCACUCUCUGACGUUAGCGGCGGACGGGUGAGUAACACGUGGGUAACCUACCUAUAAGACUGGGAUAACUUCGGGAAACCGGAGCUAAUACCGGAUAAUAUUUAGCUUCGCAUGAAGCAAUAGUGAAAGACGGUUCUGCUGUCACUUAUAGAUGGACCCGCGGUGUAUUAGCUAGUUGGUGAGGUAACGGCUCACCAAGGCGACGAUACAUAGCCGACCUGAGAGGGUGAUCGGCCACACUGGGACUGAGACACGGCCCAGACUCCUACGGGAGGCAGCAGUAGGGAAUCUUCCGCAAUGGACGAAAGUCUGACGGAGCAAUGCCGCGUGAGUGAAGAAGGUUUUCGGAUCGUAAAACUCUGUUGUAAGGGAAGAACAAGUACGUUAGUAACUGAACGUACCUUGACGGUACCUGACCAGAAAGCCACGGCUAACUACGUG
rnacentral:rRNA from 1 species